rnacentral:rRNA from 6 species
CCUGGCGGCACUAGCGCGGUGGUCCCACCUGACCCCAUGCCGAACUCAGAAGUGAAACGCCGUAGCGCCGAUGGUAGUGUGGGGUCUCCCCAUGCGAGAGUAGGGAACUGCCAGGA